UGGGGAAUAUUGGACAAUGGGCGAAAGCCUGAUCCAGCCAUGCCGCGUGUGUGAAGAAGGUCUUCGGAUUGUAAAGCACUUUAAGUUGGGAGGAAGGGCAUUAACCUAAUACGUUAGUGUUUUGACGUUACCGACAGAAUAAGCACCGGCUAACUCUGUGCCAGCAGCCGCGGUAAUACAGAGGGUGCAAGCGUUAAUCGGAAUUACUGGGCGUAAAGCGCGCGUAGGUGGUGUGUUAAGUUGGAUGUGAAAGCCCCGGGCUCAACCUGGGAACUGCAUCCAAAACUGGCAAGCUAGAGUACGGUAGAGGGUGGUGGAAUUUCCUGUGUAGCGGUGAAAUGCGUAGAUAUAGGAAGGAACACCAGUGGCGAAGGCGACCACCUGGACUGAUACUGACACUGAGGUGCGAAAGCGUGGGGAGCAAACA
rnacentral:rRNA from 1 species